rnacentral:lncRNA from 1 species
AAAGAAGAGAAGCGGUCCCAGACGGACAUGGGGGAUUUGUCAGAGGACGAGAUCGGGACCAGCUGGGUGUGCUGCAUCCCAUACUCCACCAGGAAGAAGGUGGAGGAGAGCUCAUAGCAGCGGGAGAAGGGUCGGCCAGGCCGGGAGGGGCGAGGGACGAAGCCAGCGGCCCUGAGAGACGCCACGCAGACCUGGUGCCGUGACCACCCCACGUGUGACGUCCCCACCACCGCGAAGUGAUGACGCCACCUUUAAAAAGGGCUCAGUAAAGCACGAACGGAAGACGUUGUCCCUCUCCAGGGGCCCCAUCCCUUCUUUCCACACACCCUGUCCUGUGAAAUGUAAGUUAG